UGCAAGUCGAACGAAAUCCUUCGGGGUUUAGUGGCGCACGGGUGCGUAACGCGUGGGAAUCUGCCCUUGGGUUUGGAAUAACAGUUAGAAAUGACUGCUAAUACCAAAUGAUGACGUAAGUCCAAAGAUUUAUCGCCCAGGGAUGAGCCCGCGUAGGAUUAGCUAGUUGGUGGGGUAAAGGCCUACCAAGGCGACGAUCCUUAGCUGGUCUGAGAGGAUGAUCAGCCACACUGGGACUGAGACACGGCCCAGACUCCUACGGGAGGCAGCAGUGGGGAAUAUUGGACAAUGGGCGAAAGCCUGAUCCAGCAAUGCCGCGUGAGUGAUGAAGGCCUUAGGGUUGUAAAGCUCUUUUACCCGGGAAGAUAAUGACUGUACCGGGAGAAUAAGCCCCGGCUAACUCCGUGCCAGCAGCCGCGGUAAUACGGAGGGGGCUAGCGUUGUUCGGAAUUACUGGGCGUAAAGCGCACGUAGGCGGCUUGGUAAGUUAGAGGUGAAAGCCUGGAGCUCAACUCCAGAAUUGCCUUUAAGACUGCCGAGCUAGUAGGUGAGAGAGGUAAGUGGAAUUCCGAGUGUAGAGGUGAAAUUCGUAGAUAUUCGGAAGAACACCAGUGGCGAAGGCGGCUUACUGGCUCAUUCUAGACGCUGAGGUG
rnacentral:rRNA from 1 species